GUACCCCUCACCCCUCUGACGCCACCCUAGAUAUAAUUGUUUCUGAUACUAAGAAUAGAUUGAAUUUAUAAAAUUAUAUGUAAAUGAAUAAUUAUUUAGAAUUUAGUAUAUACAAAUGAACAUAGUGUUUGUUGUGAAAUAGAAUAACUGCGUAAGAGUUUAAAAGUAAAUUGCACGUUUUAAUGAUUCAGUACACUUUAGGCCGGUUUGACAUGAUUGCAUUGCUAAUUGAACAUAUCUUGAAAGUUGAUAAACAUGAAAACGACACAACUUUUGUGGAAUUGAUUAACAUUAAUAAAAGU